rnacentral:lncRNA from 1 species
UAGAGACAACCCAGCAACAUAGUUUUAACAACCAUGAAGCUUAGUUUUGCUUCGUACUAAGUAAUAUGUUUGUGUGAUUCUAAAAAUCCUUACUUAAGCACAAUAUAGAAAUAUCUGUAUGUCUCUUAAAAUUAUUUUUAAUAAGAACUUUGACAGGCUUUGAAAAUUUCUGGCAAAAGUUAUAUUUGGUAUAAUUUAGAUGUCCUAAAUAAUAUGAUGUGAUUCCCAGCAUAAGACUAUUAUGUGAGGAAACCUAAAGAUCAGAAGUAUGAAAACAAAAAAAUGUUUUUGUUGACUUAUUCCUCUUAAGAAAGAGAUGAGUUUCCUCGAGCUUGGUUUCCCCUUAGAUUUAUACUCUUUCUGCCCCUGGGAUAUGAAAUGAAAAUUUUAUCUCUUUGUAGUUUCAUAACAGCAGCAGAUGUAGUCAGUCAGUCAACCAGCAUAUCUGUUAUGUCAUCAGAAAGCUUCUGUCACCAGGAAUCAUUUUUUAUACAAUACUUACUGAUAAAUCAGAGAUUCACACACACCUCUAUGAAGGUACUAAUCAGGAUCUGUAGUGGAUUCUGUGGUCUGAUGCUCCAAUUCCAGCACUUUAAGGACUAAAAUUCCCAUCCUUGUUUGCCUGGAGCCUUGGCUUCUGACACUCAGGAAUACAUUCUCUGGAAAUUGAUCUUGACUUAAAGAAACUGCCUCCUCCAAGUCAAACCUCUCUGUUGAUGCGGGAAUACAAAGGUGUGGACUCCUUGUUUUAAUUUAGAAAUUCUUAGAAGGGCUUCGGAGUUCCCAUGGAUCAACAGAGACCUCUGUUGCAACUACAUUAGAGCUCAACUUCCUGUUCUAAUCCCAUUUCCCUCUCCUCUCACACAUCUGUCUAGGAGACAACCCUUCUCUCCACAAUCCUCCUACAUGCACAUCUUAGAAUCUCAGUCUGUUUCCUGAGCUCCCAACCUGUGACACCUUACAUAUAUGUUUACAGGAAAAUAGGGAAAGAGAAAUAAGAAAAAAAAA